GGUAGGGUGGCCGAAUGUUAGGCGGUGGGCUGUAAAUCCACUAAUGGGGGUUAAACUCCCCUCUUUACCA
rnacentral:tRNA from 1 species